UACGUGAGGGGCAAGCGUUGUCCGGAUUCAUUGGGCGUAAAGAGCGUGUAGGCGGCCAGGUAGGUCGGUUGUGAAAACUGGAGGCUCAACCUUCAGAGGUCGACCGAAACCAUCUGGCUAGAGUCCGGGAGAGGAGAGUGGAAUUCCUGGUGUAGCGGUGAAAUGCGUAGAUAUCGAGAGGAACACCUGCGGCGAAGGCGGGUUGCUGGGCUGACACUGACGUGAUGCGCGAAAGCUAGGGGAGCGAACGGG
rnacentral:rRNA from 1 species